rnacentral:rRNA from 1 species
UACGUAGGGGGCUAGCGUUGUCCGGAAUCAUUGGGCGUAAAGCGCGCGUAGGCGGCCCGGUAAGUCCGCUGUGAAAGUCAAAGGCUCAACCUUUGAAUGUCAGCGGAUACUGCCAGGCUAGAGUCCGGAAGAGGCGAGUGGAACUCCUGGUGUAGCGGUGGAAUGCGCAGAUAUCAGGAAGAACACCAACGGCGAAGGCAGCCCGCUGGGACGGAACUGACGCUGAGGCGCGAAAGCGUGGGGAGCAAACAGG